UGGGGAAUAUUGGGCAAUGGACGCAAGUCUGACCCAGCAACGCCGCGUGAAGGAAGAAGGCUUUCGGGUUGUAAACUUCUUUUAAGGGGGAAGAGCAGAAGACGGUACCCCUUGAAUAAGCCACGGCUAACUACGUGCCAGCAGCCGCGGUAAUACGUAGGUGGCAAGCGUUGUCCGGAUUUACUGGGUGUAAAGGGCGUGCAGCCGGAGAGGCAAGUCAGAUGUGAAAUCCGCGGGCUCAACCCGCGAACUGCAUUUGAAACUGCUUCCCUUGAGUAUCGGAGAGGUAACCGGAAUUCCUAGUGUAGCGGUGAAAUGCGUAGAUAUUGGGAGGAACACCAGUGGCGAAGGCGGCCUACUGGGCACCAACUGACGCUGAGGCUCGAAAGUAUGGGUAGCAAACAGGAUUAGAUACCC
rnacentral:rRNA from 1 species